GCGCCCGUAGCUCAACGGAUCAGAGCGCCGCCCUCCGAAGGCGGAGGUUGCAGGUUCGAAUCCUGCCGGGCGCGCCA
rnacentral:tRNA from 1 species